UCAUAUGGAUUCCUACGGGAGGCAGCAGUAGGGAAUAUUGGGCAAUGGACGGAAGUCUGACCCAGCCAUGCCGCGUGCAGGAAGAAGGCCUUCUGGGUUGUAAACUGCUUUUAUCUGGGAAGAAAACACCUAUGCGUAGGGAACUGACGGUACCAGAUGAAUAAGCACCGGCUAACUCCGUGCCAGCAGCCGCGGUAAUACGGAGGGUGCAAGCGUUGUCCGGAUUUAUUGGGUUUAAAGGGUGCGUAGGCGGCCCUGUAAGUCAGUGGUGAAAGCCUUCAGGCUCCAACUGGAGAACUGCCAUUGAUACUGCAGGGCUUGAGUACAGACGAGGUUGGCGGAAUUGAUUGUGUAGCGGUGAAAUGCAUAGAUACAAUCAAGAACACCGAUUGCGUAGGCAGCUAACUAGGCUGUAACUGACGCUGAGGCACGAAAGCGUGGGGAGCGAACAGGAUUAGAUACCCUGGUAGUCCACGCUGUAAACGAUGAUUACUCGAUGUUGGCGAUAAACUGUCAGCGUCUUAGCGAAAGCGUUAAGUAAUCCACCUGGGGAGUACGCCCGCAAGGGUGAAACUCAAAGGAAUUGACGGGGGCCCGCGCAAGCGGUGGAGCAUGUGGUUUAAUUCGAUGAUGCGCUUGAACCUUACCUAGGCUAGAAUGCGCGUGACCGC
rnacentral:rRNA from 1 species